rnacentral:rRNA from 1 species
UACGUAGGGUCCGAGCGUUAAUCGGAAUUACUGGGCGUAAAGCGUGCGCAGGCGGUUAUGUAAGACAGAUGUGAAAUCCCCGGGCUCAACCUGGGAACUGCAUUUGUGACUGCAUAGCUAGAGUACGGUAGAGGGGGAUGGAAUUCCGCGUGUAGCAGUGAAAUGCGUAGAUAUGCGGAGGAACACCGAUGGCGAAGGCAAUCCCCUGGACCUGUACUGACGCUCAUGCACGAAAAGCGUGGGGAGCAAACGAGG